UGCCUGGAGGCAGCUUUGCCUGCACUUGGGGGUCUAGGACACCCAGAACUCAGCAGACCCAAAUCAUGUCUGGCCCACACACACUGGGUUGGGGUGAGCAAGGAGGCAGACCAGGGAUAGAUUAUUACUGCUCUCAUGCCCACCUUUCAUAGAACCCCUGGGAGACUAGCUCUUCCAAAACCAAAGUCCACCGUGAUGAUUCCCGAAUCCCAGAAGCUUCUGAGAUGUGGACUGGAGUCACUCAGGUGUCAGCUACAGGCCCAGACCAAGGCUUUCGAGUUCCUAAACCACUCAGUGACCAUGUUGAAGGACAGCUGCCUGCAGCAAAUCAAGAUCCAACAGCUUGAAGAGAUGCUGGGCCCCACGAGCCGCCAGGCAGACAAGGAGAGACACAAGUGGGACGUGGAGAAGGGACGGCAGGAGCUAUAUGAGGCCCUGGCUAAAGGCCUGCAGGGGCUGCAGAAGACCCUGUAUGACAACGAGGAGGUGCAGCGGGCCCGUACCACCCGCUGCCUACAGCUGUUGGCUCAGGAGAUCCGGGACAGCAAGAAGUUCUUGUGGGAGGAGCUGGAGCUGGUGCGGGACGAGGUGACCUUCAUUUAUCAAAAGCUACAGGCGCAGGAAGAGGAGAUUACGGAGAACCUGGUGAACAUCCAGAAGAUGCAAAAGACACAGGUGAAGUGCUGCAAGGUCCUGACCAAAAUGAAGCAGCAUGGGUAUGAGACAUCCAACUGGCCAGAGACUGAGGAGUUGCCACCAGGAGGCAGUGGCUCCUGGAGGGAUGACCUCCAGAAGGAGCUGGGUGACAUAUGGUCCGCUGUGCACCUGCUGCAGAACUCCUUUGGUGGCCUCGCCAUAUACUCAGGGGGCUGCCCCAGGGCUGCGAGCCUCAGGGGAUUGCACCUGUCCCUCCUGCUGGCUAUAGGGGGCACCGAUGCCUGAGCCCGCCACGCCCCUCCUGGAACUCGGACUCGGACUCAGACCAGGACCCUUCCCAGCCACCACUCAGCAAGAGCUGCUCCUUCCCGCCUGCCUGAGCAGCUGGGACUGCUCUCCCUGAAGACCCCUCCAUAGAGAAAAUAAACUAGCUGCGACCCUCCUCCACCUGUGGACUGCUGCUCCUGGCUGCUUCCUGUGCCUCAGAGUGACCCCCACAGUUUACUACCCAGUCUUGGGGAGGGACUGUUCGGGAUAUGUGGGCCUAGGGUCAGGGGACAGUGUGAGGCUGGAUUUAGUAUAUGACAAGGUCAGGGGUAAGUCUGUCUAGAUAUGAGUGGCCAGAUAGGCCCUUGGCGAUCUGGCCUGCUGUCCCUACUGCCCAAAUGGGGAAAUUGAGGCCCCUGACCCUCAUCUGCCCUGCGUUCCUCCUAAUAAGAUCAAGCAGCGACCCCCGGAACCUGGAACCCACCUGAGUCCCUCUCCUCCCAGGACUCAUCUCUGCCCCUGCCCCCUCCAUGGCCUCCCUGCC